GACGAACGCUGGCGGCGUGCUUAACACAUGCAAGUCGAACGGUGAAGCGCCUUCCUUUUUGGUGGGUGUGGAUGAGUGGCGAACGGGUGAGUAGCACGUGAGUAACCUGCCCCCUUCUUCUGGAUAACCGCAUGAAAGUGUGGCUAAUACGGGAUAUUCUGGGUCUGUCGCAUGAUGGGUCUGGGAAAGAUAUUGUUUCGGUGGGGGAUGGGCUCGCGGCCUAUCAGCUUGUUGGUGGGGUGAUGGCCUACCAAGGCGGUGACGGGUAGCCGGCCUGAGAGGGUGGACGGUCACACUGGGACUGAGACACGGCCCAGACUCCUACGGGAGGCAGCAGUGGGGAAUAUUGCACAAUGGGCGCAAGGCUGAUGCAGCGACGCCGCGUGAGGGAUGGAGGCCUUCGGGUUGUGAACCUCUUUCGCCAGUGAAGCAGGCCUGCCUCGUUUGUGGGUGGGUUGACGGUAGCUGGAUAAGAAGCGCCGGCUAACUACGUG
rnacentral:rRNA from 1 species